GUGUUGUAUGAAAGUAAAGACGGUGAACGCUCCCUAGACAAGGAUGGAAUACAUACGAUUAAGGCACCGCUCAGAUACCAGCGCUUGACCCAGUCAGUAAAUACU